AUCACUUCUCAGCAUUUUGGUUAAGAUCAAGUGUAGUAUCUGUUCUUAUCAGUUUAAAACUUAUUUCAGAAAAGACAAAAGCCUUUCUUGAAAUUUAUUCUCU
ensembl:snRNA U2 U2 spliceosomal RNA